rnacentral:rRNA from 1 species
CUUUCCCUCUUUCUUUCGGCCUAACACAUGCAAGUCGAACGGCAGCACAGUAAGAGCUUGCUCUUACGGGUGGCGAGUGGCGGACGGGUGAGGAAUACAUCGGAAUCUACUUUUUCGUGGGGGAUAACGUAGGGAGACUUACGCUAAUACCGCAUACGACCUACGGGUGAAAGCAGGGGAUCUUCGGACCUUGCGCGAUUGAAUGAGCCGAUGUCGGAUUAGCUAGUUGGCGGGGUAAAGGCCCACCAAGGCGACGAUCCGUAGCUGGUCUGAGAGGAUGAUCAGCCACACUGGAACUGAGACACGGUCCAGACUCCUACGGGAGGCAGCAGUGGGGAAUAUUGGACAAUGGGCGCAAGCCUGAUCCAGCCAUACCGCGUGGGUGAAGAAGGCCUUCGGGUUGUAAAGCCCUUUUGUUGGGAAAGAAAAGCAGCAGGUUAAUACCCCGCUGUUCUGACGGUACCCAAAGAAUAAGCACCGGCUAACUUCGUG